rnacentral:rRNA from 1 species
CACGAACUGUGCGAACGUUAUUCGGAAUUACUGGGCUUAAAGAGUUCGUAGGCGGCUUGUUAAGUCGGGUGUGAAAUCCCUCGUCUCAACCGAGGAAUUGCGCUCGAAACUGGCGAGCUUGAGUGAGAUAGAGGUGAGCGGAACUGAUGGUGGAGCGGUGAAAUGCGUUGAUAUCAUCAGGAACACCGGUUGCGAAGGCGGCUCACUGGGUCUUUACUGACGCUGAGGAACGAAAGCUAGGGGAGCGAACGGG